AUUGAACGCUGGCGGCAUGCUUUACACAUGCAAGUCGAGCGGUAACAGGCCUUCGGGUGCUGACGAUUGGCGAACGGGUGAGUAAUGCAUCGGAACGUACCCAGAGGUGGGGGAUAACGCAGCUAAAGCUGUGCUAAUACCGCAUGUGAUCUGAGGAUGAAAGCGGGGGACCGAGCAGCAAUGUUUCGCCUCGCGCCUUUGGACCGGCCGAUGUCGUUUUAGCUAGUUGGUGGGUUUAAUGCCUACCAAGGCGACGAUCCGUAGCUGGUCUGAGAGACCGACCGGCGGCAUUAGGAGGGGGACACGGACAAUAGUCCUACGGGAGGCAGCAGUGGGGAAUGUUGGACAGUGGGCGCAAGCCUGGUCCAGCAAUGCCGCGUGCGGGAAGGAGGCGUUCGGGUUGUAAAGCGCUUUUGGCAGGAACGAAACGGUGUCCGCUAAUACCGGGCGCUAAUGACGGUACCUGCAGAAUAAGCACCGGCUAACUACGUG
rnacentral:rRNA from 1 species